rnacentral:piRNA from 1 species
GCUUCAGGGCUGGAGGGAUGGCU